rnacentral:rRNA from 1 species
AACGAACGCUGGCGGCAUGCCUAACACAUGCAAGUCGAACGAGACCUUCGGGCCUAGUGGCGCACGGGGGCGGAACGCGUGGGAACCUGCCCGUAGGUUCGGAAUAACUCCCCGAAAGGGGUGCUAAUACCGGAGAAGGUCUUCGGACCAAAGAUCUAUGGCCUUUGGGUGGGCGCGCGUUGGAUUAGUUGGUUGGUAGGGGAAAAGCAUACCAAGGCGACGAUGCAUAGCUGGUGUGAGAGGAUGACACGCCACACUGGGACUGCGACACGGCCCAGACUCCUACGGAAGGGAGCAGUGGGUUGUAUUGGGCACUGAAGCCAAGUCUAACCACGCCAUGCGGGGUAAGUGAUGAAGGCCGUAGGGUUGUAAAGCUCUUUUACCCGAGAUGAUAAUGACGGUACCGGGUAAAUAAGCUCCGGCUAACUACGUG